AGGAAUUAGUCAUUCAAAAGACGGUGAGGAAAAGAAUGGUCGACAAACCUUGUGUGGUGCCUUAACAGUCCAACAGACUAAGGGAUAGAUAAAGGUGGAUCUUGAUUAAACUGCCUGGUUUUGUGGUUUGCACGAGACAGUUGACACAAUGAUCUGAAGUUUAAACUGCCAUAUUCUACUGUCCGCUGCGAGAUCUUGGCUGGAAUGUAAAAGGAAUGUCCAAAAUAUUUAAAUGACAAACAGGAUGGGAACUGAUUAUGAGGAAUAUGCUGAAACAGACAUCUGGCAUAUUCCUAUAAUCAGUAUCAUGGCCUUUGUAUACAACAAAAUUGAUUGGAACUCCUAGACUAGAAAUAUAAUUCAAGAUUUAAAUAAGGCACUGGUCAUAAUUUUAGA